rnacentral:snoRNA from 1 species
GUCGACAAUACUUCAGAGAAUCAUUUCUAUAGUAUUCGACCUACUCUUGGUUCCCUAAAGGAGCUACAGAUCCCACCCUGGUUGAUGAUUGAUAUCCUCGACACCCUAGAGUGAAGAACUCUGGUUGCCCUCGCACUUUCCGCAAGGAAAGCGGUUAUUUGUCUCUAGACGAAAAACUGUAUAGAGGGCGGUGAUGAUCUCGUCCCCCUUCGCGGUCUUGCCUUUUGGGCGCGUGGAGGGGGUGGGUGUCGAUGGACGUCUGACAGGC